UCGUAAAAUAUUUCUAGCUCUAAGGACUAGACCCAGUCUAGAUGAAUUAGAGAUAAUCAAUCAAUUCCCAAUCAGUUUGAAGACUUCAUAUAAACUGACACAUUGAAAGGAACUCCGACUAAUAAGUCUAAUUGAGAUAAUUUCCAGAUGGACCAACUUCAUAGCCUGAUAUACAUUGACAAGUAUAGCUGCCAAGAGUAUUAAUGCACGUAGCAAAUGGUCCACAGAAGGAAUAUGCACAUUCAUUGAUAUCAUUUGAACAAUUCUUAGAUGUCCAACCAGGAAGACAUAUGCAGGUUCCAUUUCUUGCAUCACACUGUGCAGUAUUUUCCUCAAUACAGUCACAAUUCAGUUGACAUUCUUCACCAAAGAAACAUUCACCAGAAGAUUUAUUGCAUGAAACAGUGCUGUUUUGGACACAGUCACAUGGAAUAGAACAGUCCAUUGAUUUCCAGAUGGACCAACUUCAUAGCCUGAUAUACAUUGACAAGUAUAGCUGCCAAGAGUAUUAAUGCAUGUAG